GAUGAACGCUGGCGGCGUGCUUAACACAUGCAAGUCGAACGGGAAAUCUUUCAUUGAGACUUCGGUGGAUUUGAUUUAUUUCUAGUGGCGGACGGGUGAGUAACGCGUGGGUAACCUGCCUUAUACAGGGGGAUAACAGUCAGAAAUGGCUGCUAAUACCGCAUAAGCGCACAGAGCUGCAUGGCUCAGUGUGAAAAACUCCGGUGGUAUAAGAUGGACCCGCGUUGGAUUAGCUAGUUGGUGGGGUAACGGCCCACCAAGGCGACGAUCCAUAGCCGGCCUGUGAGAGUGAACGGCCACAUUUGGACUGAGACACGGCCCGGACUACUGCGGGAGGCAGGAGUGGGGAAUAUUGCACAAUGGGGGAAACCCUGAUGCAGCGACGCCGCGUGAAGGAAGAAGUAUCUCGGGAUGUAAACUUCUAUCAGCAGGGAAGAUAGUGACGGUACCUGACGAAGAAGCCCCGGCUAACUACGUG
rnacentral:rRNA from 1 species